rnacentral:rRNA from 1 species
AGCGAACGCUGGCGGCAGGCCUAACACAUGCAAGUCGAACGGACCCUUCGGGGUUAGUGGCGGACGGGUGAGUAGCACGUGGGAACGUGCCUUUAGGUUCGGAAUAGCUCCUGGAAACGGGUGGUAAUGCCGAAUGUGCCCUUCGGGGGAAAGAUUUAUCGCCUUUAGAGCGGCCCGCGUCUGAUUAGCUAGUUGGUGAGGUAAAGGCUCACCAAGGCGACGAUCAGUAGCUGGUCUGAGAGGAUGACCAGCCACAUUGGGACUGAGACACGGCCCAAACUCCUACGGGAGGCAGCAGUGGGGAAUCUUGCGCAAUGGGCGAAAGCCUGACGCAGCCAUGCCGCGUGGAUGAUGAAGGUCUUAGGAUUGUAAAAUCCUUUCACCGGUGAAGAUAAUGACUGUAGCCGGAGAAGAAGCCCCGGCUAACUUCGUGCCAGCCGCCGCGGUAAAAC